rnacentral:rRNA from 1 species
UUUUACAGUAUGAAAAUUGGUGAUUUAUAAUAACUUAGCAAAUCGCAUAGUGAAAACAGGCGAUAAAUCAUUCAAGUUUCUGACCUAUCAGCUUUCGACGGUAUGGUAUUGGCUUACCGUGGCAGUGACGGUUAACGGGGGAUUAGGGUUCGAUUCCGGAGAGGGAGCCUGAGAAACGGCUACCACAUCUAAGGAAGGCAGCAGGCGCGCAAAUUACCCAAUUCUAACAGUUUGAGAGAGGUAGUAACAAGAAAUAACAAUACAAGGCAGUUAAAAUGCUUUGUAAUUGGAAUGAUAGAAAUUUAAACCCUUUUUAAAGUAUCAAUUGGAGGGCAAGUCUGGUGCCAGCAGCCGCGGUAAUUCCAGCUCCAAUAGCGUAUAUUAAAAUUGUUGCAGUUAAAAAGCUCGUAGUUGAAGUUCUGCUAAAAGUAACCGGUCUGCUUUGAAUAAAAGUGGUAUCUUGGUAUGUAUUUAGCAAUGAUGUCCUUUGAAGUGUUUUUUUCUUUAUUGUAAUAAAGCAUAUUCAGGACUUUUACUCUGAGAAAAUUAGAGUG